GCGUUGAGCUGCUGCUUUUCUACCUCAUGAAUCUUUCUGCUGUCUCCUCCUUCCCAGAUUGUAUGGCUAAGACACAGUGUGCUCACCCACCCGAAUGUUGGUCCCAAAGGACUGCAGUGAGGAGAGCCCUUCUGGAGUCUUGGCUGCUGUGUUGGCUUCGAUGAAACAUCUUCAAUUUGGAUUUCUUCUCAGGUAGCACAUUGCUGAGCCAGGCUGUCUCUGGGGGAGGCUAGAAGCACUGAAUCGCCACCAACUUGGCAAUAUUUUAGGCUGAUUGUGAGUCAAGUCUGUAUCUGCUGAGUUAACUGAUGCACCCUGUAAUGAAGUCUCUGCAGCAUCUUCCUCCUACACAAAUGGGCUGGUGGAUUCCUGGCUGUGUUCCUGUGGUCACCAGUGCAACUGAGGGACCCCUCUGAGUGACAGUGUCCUUUAUGGUUAUUGCGACUAGUGUGUGAAAUUUGAAGCUGUGGCCUGAGGGUGGAAGGAGCUGUCUCUGCCCCAUGAGGCUCACC